rnacentral:rRNA from 1 species
AUUGAACGCUGGCGGCAUGCCUUACACAUGCAAGUCGAACGGCAGCGGGGGAGAAGCUUGCUUUUCCUGCCGGCGAGUGGCGAACGGGUGAGUAAUACAUCGGAACGUGCCCUGUAGUGGGGGAUAACUAGUCGAAAGAUUAGCUAAUACCGCAUACGACCUGAGGGUGAAAGUGGGGGACCGCAAGGCCUCAUGCUAUAGGAGCGGCCGAUGUCUGAUUAGGUAGUUGGUGGGGUAAAGGCCUACCAAGGCUACGAUCAGUAGCUGGUCUGAGAGGACGAGCAGCCACACGGGGACUGAGACACGGCCCAGACUCCUACGGGAGGCAGCAGUGGGGAAUUUUGGACAAUGGGCGAAAGCCUGAUCCAGCAAUGCCGCGUGUGUGAAGAAGGCCUUCGGGUUGUAAAGCACUUUUGUCCGGAAAGAAAUGGCUCCGGUUAAUACCUGGGGUCGAUGACGGUACCGGAAGAAUAAGGACCGGCUAACUACGUGCCAGCAGCCGCAGUAAAAC